UACGAAGGGUGCAAGCGUUACUCGGAAUUACUGGGCGUAAAGCGUGUGUAGGCGGAUCGUUAAGUACCUUGUGAAAUCCCACGGCUCAACCGUGGAACGGCUGGGUAUACUGGCGGUCUUGAGCCACCUAGGGGCGAGCGGAACAAACGGUGGAGCGGUGAAAUGCGUAGAUAUCGUUUGGAACGCCAAUGGUGAAGACAGCUCGCUGGGGGUGCGCUGACGCUGAGACACGAAAGCCAGGGGAGCGAACGGG
rnacentral:rRNA from 1 species